rnacentral:rRNA from 1 species
AUUGAACGCUGGCGGCAGGCCUAACACAUGCAAGUCGAACGAGCGGCGGACGGGGGAGUAAUGUCUGGGAAACUGCCCGAUGGAGGGGGAUAACUACUGGAAACGGUAGCUAAUACCGCAUACCAUCGGAUGUGCCCAGCUGGGAUUAGCUAGUAGGUGAGGUAACGGCUAACCUAGGCGACGAUCCCUAGCUGGUCUGAGAGGAUGACCAGCCAGACGGGGACUGGGACACGGUCUAGACUCCUCCGGGAGGCAGCAGUGGGGAAGAUGGCACAAUGGGCGCAAGCCUGAUGCAGCCAUGCCGCGUGUAUGAAGAAGGCCUUCGGGUUGUAAAGUACUUUCAGCGGGGAGGCGUUACCCGCAGAAGAAGCACCGGCUAACUCCGUGCCAGCAGCCGCGGUAAGUC